CGGAGUGGUGUUUUUAAUCAUUAAUAAUGGGCGGCAGAUCUUUAAAAAGAUUUUUUUUUCUUUUUUCAAUGUCAUAAAAGAAGGAAGAUAUUAUUUCGGCAGAAGAGAACCAUCAACAAUCAGCUUUCAUGGAGGUCUUUUCCUUGCUUUUUCUGAAAGAAAACCAACUCUCUUUGUUUCCUGUUUGUUUGUUUGUUUGUUUGUUUGUUUGUUUUUUUUUUUUUUUGUAAAAAAGAACACAGUCUGUGAUGAUAGUCAACUUGCUUUUUCUAGUGAGCAACCUCCUUGCUCCCUACUUAUCUCUUGAAAACGUAGUCUGCUUAUCUCUUAGAAAGGCCAUCUGCUUUGGUGCAGAGUUUCUCUGUAUAUAAAAAGGGGAUUUGAUCUUCUUUCUUUGGCUGCAAAAAUGGGGAAGUCCUCCUAUAAGACAUGCCUUCAUUAACUCCCUAUCAAUUCCUCUGUGAUAGUUGAAACUUUUGACUUUUCCAAAGUUAAAAAGUCAUGUGGGGCCUCUCUUGAGAAAAAGAUAUGCUGACUUGCCUUUUUUGGGGUAAAGAUCAAAUGAUGUGAAUUUUUCAAAAGCUGGGCUUUUAUCCAAAUUUGUGU
rnacentral:lncRNA from 1 species